rnacentral:rRNA from 1 species
CCUACGGGAGGCAGCAGUGAGGAAUAUUGGUCAAUGGACGAGAGUCUGAACCAGCCAAGUAGCGUGAAGGAUGACUGCCCUAUGGGUUGUAAACUUCUUUUAUAUGGGAAUAAAACGUUCCACGUGUGGGAGUUUGUAUGUACCAUAUGAAUAAGGAUCGGCUAACUCCGUGCCAGCAGCCGCGGUAAUACGGAGGAUCCGAGCGUUAUCCGGAUUUAUUGGGUUUAAAGGGAGCGUAGGUGGAUUGUUAAGUCAGUUGUGAAAGUUUGCGGCUCAACCGUAGAAUUGCAGUUGAAACUGGCAGUCUUGAGUACAGUAGAGGUGAGCGGAAUUCGUGGUGUAGCGGUGAAAUGCUUAGAUAUCACGAAGAACUCCGAUUGCGAAGGCAGCUCACUGGACUGCAACUGACGCUGAGGCUCGAAAGUGUGGGUAUCAAACAGGAUUAGAUACCCCAGUAGUC